rnacentral:rRNA from 1 species
GAUGAACGCUGGCGGCGUGCCUAAUGCAUGCAAGUCGAGCGAACAGACGAGGAGCUUGCUCCUCUGACGUUAGCGGCGGACGGGUGAGUAACACGUGGAUAACCUACCUAUAAGACUGGGAUAACUUCGGGAAACCGGAGCUACUACCGGAUAAUAUAUUGAACCGCAUGGUUCAAUAGUGAAAGACGGUUUUGCUGUCACUUAUAGAUGGAUCCGCGCCGCAUUAGCUAGUUGGUAAGGUAACGGCUUACCAAGGCGACGAUGCGUAGCCGACCUGAGAGGGUGAUCGGCCACACUGGAACUGAGACACGGUCCAGACUCCUACGGGAGGCAGCAGUAGGGAAUCUUCCGCAAUGGGCGAAAGCCUGACGGAGCAACGCCGCGUGAGUGAUGAAGGUCUUCGGAUCGUAAAACUCUGUUAUUAGGGAAGAACAAAUGUGUAAGUAACUAUGCACGUCUUGACGGUACCUAAUCAGAAAGCCACGGCUAACUACGUG